CGUCACACUGAUAUCAUCCCUAGCAAAAGCAUUUUUGCUGGAGUCUACCAUUUUUAUUUUAGUUAAUAAAAUAUAAAUAUUUCCUCUCCUUAUUUCGGUUGUGCGCGUACAUAAACUGCUAAAGAACUAUCUUUCUAACGUUAUCCGGGUGUUGAAGAGCCAGCUUGCUGCGAGAAACGACCAAUUUCCAACGCGAUUUUCCCAUUUAAUUUUUUUCCACCGUACAAAAUUUUUUGUGAGUGAAGAGCCAACCUUGAGAAACACCCAGCACAGCAGUUCCAAUAGUUUCGCUUGCUCAAUUGCUCAUCUGUGAAAUCGUGCUCACGAACGAACAUACUAUAUUGUUAAGUCGACGAGGCCUGCAAGGGGAACGCCUCCAUCAUGGACAAGAUGCGUAUACUGAAGGAAAGUCGCCCCGAAAUAAUUGUCGGUGGCAAAUAUCGGGUCAUACGCAAGAUAGGCAGCGGCUCUUUCGGUGACAUCUAUCUGGGCAUGAGCAUCCAGAGCGGCGAGGAGGUGGCCAUCAAGAUGGAGAGUGCCCAUGCCCGCCAUCCCCAGCUGUUGUACGAGGCCAAGCUGUACCGCAUUCUGAGCGGCGGCGUUGGCUUCCCACGCAUCCGCCACCACGGCAAGGAGAAGAACUUCAAUACGCUGGUGAUGGACCUGCUGGGGCCCUCGCUGGAGGAUCUGUUCAAUUUCUGUACGCGCCACUUCACCAUCAAGACGGUGCUGAUGCUGGUCGACCAGAUGAUCGGUCGCCUUGAAUAUAUCCAUCUCAAGUGCUUUAUCCAUCGCGACAUCAAGCCGGACAACUUCCUCAUGGGCAUCGGCCGGCAUUGCAACAAGCUAUUCUUGAUCGACUUUGGUCUGGCCAAGAAGUACCGCGACCCCCACACGCGCCACCACAUCUUGUACAGGGAGGACAAGAAUUUGACGGGAACCGCCCGAUAUGCUUCGAUCAAUGCCCAUCUGGGCAUCGAGCAGUCUCGCCGCGACGACAUGGAGUCCCUCGGCUAUGUGAUGAUGUACUUCAAUCGCGGCGUCCUGCCCUGGCAGGGCAUGAAGGCCAACAACAAGCAGCAGAAGUACGAGAAAAUCUCAGAGAAGAAGAUGUCAACGCCCAUCGAGGUGCUGUGCAAGGGUUCGCCGGCCGAGUUCUCCAUGUACUUGAACUAUUGCCGCAGCUUGCGUUUCGAGGAACAGCCAGACUACAUGUACCUACGUCAAUUGUUCCGCAUACUGUUUAGGACGCUGAACCAUCAGUAUGACUACAUUUACGACUGGACAAUGCUGAAGCAGAAGACCCACCAGGGUCAGGCGAAUCCUGCAAUACUCUUGGAGCAAUUGGACAAGGACAAGGAGAAGCAGAACGGCAAGCCGCUGAUCGCGGACUAGGGCGAUGACGGAUAUCGCGGGAGGUUGUUGAAUAAAAAAUGAAAGGGGGGGAAACAUACAAAACACACACACUAUAAGAGAAAUGAAUAUGAAAUGAGCGCGGAAUGGAGAGCGGAGUGGAGUUGAGUUGGCCAAGGAGCGGAAUGGAUAACGAUAGAGAAAUACACUGCGAAGCGAAAUAAGGAAGAGGAAUCAUAGGAAGAAAAGCAGAAUCCGAAACAGAAACGAGUAAAAAGCAAAAAUGGAGAAACGAAGUAAUACACAUUCGGGACAUAGGAUGUUUCGUAAUUAAUUAAUUUAAAUUCAAUACUAAAAGAAUAAGGAACAAGCCAGACACAGACACAUACACACACACACAUAUAUUCACAUACCUACACACAGUACAACAGUCCCAGAAAAAAUACAGAUAAAGACGAGAUGACGAUGGUUCCAAGAAGUGAACCAACAGCAGACCAGGAUCCACAGAUUGCACAGAUCAUAAUGCAUACACACUCACGCAUAAGCAUGCAACACAAGCUCACACACCCACAACCACACCCACUACACAACAACAACAAACACACUUAGUAUAACAAAUUUACCAGAUUUAAUGUAGAAGCGGAACAAAAAUCGUAAGCAAUUUCGUGUAUAUACAUAUAUAUGUACAUAGGCAUAUAUGUAGACCAGAUAUGUGCUCAUACUAUAUAUAUAUAUAUAUAUGUAUGCAGGUAGACCCAUUUUGAAUUGUAAUUGAAAAUUGAUUGAUUCGAUAUCGAAUUCUCUCGCACCAUUGCUGCUUGUUGAUUCAACAAAGAUUGAAAUCGCAUCCAAUCCCAUAUAUACCAUCCCAUAUAUAUCAUGCGAUCAUGCGAUAACGAUAGCGAUGUAUCCCCGCAUGUAUAUGGAAACGAUACGAUACGAUAUAUAACAAUAUUUGAAUUUGAUUUCAAUCAAUUUCCACGCCCACUGCUUGAUUAUGGCUGCGAAUCAGACUCAAUAACUAAUUGAAAUCGCAUCAAUAAAUAAGCAGAGAAUAAAACAGAAAACAAAACACACAAAAGAAGGGAAAUCGAACGAUAAAAGAUUUAAAAAACGUAAAAAACAUAAAGUUGCCGCCAGGAAGCACAGCAAAGCCAACUGGGACGACGAGGGGGGAAAGCAGUAAUAAAUACAGCAAAAGAUGAGUAAAAACAAAACAAAAAAAAACAUCAAAUAAUAAUAAUACAAUAAAAAACAAACAAAAAAAAAACAAUGAAAAAGCCGAACGCAAAACUGCAAAGUAAUUUUGCAUAGUAAGCAGUAAUAAUUAUAAACAUAACUUAUAUUUAAUUUUUUGAAUUACAUCAAUAAAUAUGUUGAAAUUAUGUACAUCGCUCUGUCGAUCGGAUCGAUGGGACGCCCCGAUGCCCCGGAUUUCUGUAACUUCGCGACGGAACCUUCGAAUGACACCUCGCCACUAAAUAGACAGAGAGAGGUAGAGAUGGUGCGAGGAUAGAAGAACAGCAAGAAGUCGAUGCAGGAAAACGUCAGGCACAGCCUUUAAUCAAUCGAUCGUAGAUCUAAAGAACUAUAGAGAAUUACAUACCUAUAUAUAAACCAAUUUGAAAUCUGAAAAUCGUGCAAUUUCGAGGAAGAAAACUACCGACACAUAAAUUUCUUUGAAAUGUCUGAAAAUAUACAUAAUAGUAAAUCCCAAACAUUUAUAAAGAUUAUCUAUCAAUCCAUAAAUGAAGCAUCCAAAGGCAUCCCGUAAUAGUCAUUCAAAACUCAAAAGAAAACAUUACGAUUCGCGCUAAGAAUCAAAAAUGUUAUAGGAUGUUGUUAUGUUGAAAAUGCAUACCACUUUGAGUGAGGGUAGUAGCUAUUGUUUUGAGAUCUAAUUGUCGAAGGAAUGGAAUGGAAUGGUUUCGACCGAUCCUAUAAUUUAACGACAUUUUGAACCCGUUUCUAGCUAUGACCCAUCGAGUAUUAUGAUAUUAUAUGCAGGGAGGGGGAGUGGAGCUCUUCUUUAACAGGAAGACCAGCAAAUACUUUUUCAUCGGAAAACAGAAUAAAGGAUUCUAUUCUGAAGCCAUUCACGACCGACCUGCCGUUGCCUGGGAUUCCAUCUAUUUUGGAUACUUUCAUAGUACAAGGAUUCGGUACCACUGAAAUUUUCGGACCUAUCAACAAAUAAAGAUUACAGUGCAGUGCCGCAGUUUGCAUGCAAUUCACACAGAUGGAAGCAUGGAAGGAUAUGCAUACGAAGACAGCCCCUAUAGAAUGUAUAUAAAGAAAAGAAGUCAUUCCUUUUUGGUUCUCAAUGCCACUGCAUUCUACUACUCGCGGAUUACUUGGGACAUCCUUGGGACAUAUUUAUUAACUGUUAUUUUGGCCACUUUUCUGUUGUAUUGUUCUUAAUUUGUGAAUCUGCAUACAUACAAAUAUGAACAUUUUUA
rnacentral:misc_RNA from 1 species